CCUGGCCUCAAGUGAUCCUCCUGACUCAGCCUCCCAAAGUGCUGGGAUUAUAGGUGUGAACCACCAAACUUGGCCUAAAGGUAUGUUUUUCUUCCAAAUACAUUUUGGAGCCCACCAUUAUUAGGCACUUGUCUGUGCCAGGCACCACUUAAGUGCUUAACGUGUGUUAACUGAUUUAAUCCUCUCUGAGGUGGUUUAUCUUCACUCCCAUUUUGCAGGUGAGGAAACUGAGGCACAGAGAGAUUAAAUGAGCUGCCCAAGCUCACAUAGCUGAGGUGUGGCAGGGCUGCUGUCCGCGCCGGGCAGGCUGGCUCCCGAAGCCCGGCUCUUAGCCCACUCCUGAGCUGCCUCUCUGGACUGGUCUGCCGGGGUAGGAGAAUGUUCUCCUUUACUAACCUCUCUUUGCCUGUGAAAACCAAGGUGGUCUUACAGCAGUAGACAGAGGUGCCUCCCCUUGUAGCAAACCCAUCUGCUCCUCUGCCUGGGUCUCAGGAAAAAACCUCCCAGUGACUGAGAAAACUCCUCCCCCGCCCCUGCUGCCUCCUGUUUGGAAGAAGCUGGUCUGGAUCAGAUGAGUGGCAGGCGGGGGAGGGGCAGAGGCACCAGGCAGUCACGCCAGCACUCGCUCCCUCUCCCGAGGGUUCCCCUGUGAGGGAUCUUGGGAGGGGCCCACGCAGGAGGACAGCCGUUUCUGGAAGCAGCCGACUGGAGAGGCCUUGCCGGGCCUGGCGCCGUCUGCUGCAGUAGUCGGGGAUGCUGAUGUCCUGCUUCAACUCCGGGAUCUGUGGGCGGCAGAGCAGACAUGAGAGGUGGGGAUCCGGCCGGGGACACCACAGCCCAGAGGCCAACGAAGAAUCAGAGACACACACCUAUAUC